rnacentral:rRNA from 1 species
GGCCAUACCACCCUGAGAACGCCCGAUCUCGUCUGAUCUCGGAAGCUAAGUAGGGUCGGGCCUGGUUAGUACUUGGAUGGGAGACCGCCUGGGAAUACCAGGUGCUGUAAGCU